UGUCAAUCCAAACUUUAAUCA
rnacentral:snRNA from 1 species